rnacentral:rRNA from 1 species
CGAGGAACGAUCGGAGGGCAAGUCUGGUGCCAGCAGCCGCGGUAAUUCCAGCUCCAAUAGCGUACGUUAAAGUUGCUGCAGUUAAAAAGCUCGUAGUUGAACGUUCGGGUUCCGCGGGACGGGGCCGCCCCGCGAGGGACGGCGCCGCCCCGGGGCUCGUGAUAUCUCAUCUCGCCGCCCGUCGCGAGGCGGACGGAGGGAUGGAUGAGGUUACCUGGAAAAAAUCGGGGCGAUCUAGGCGGGCGAACCUCGCCAACGAACGAUCGGACAUGGGAUAACGGAAGAGGGCGUCGGCUCGACUUCGUCGGUUCCUCGGGCCGAGGCACGUACGGUGAAUAGGGACGGUCGGGGCCGCCCGUACCGGGUCGUGAGAGGUGAAAUUCUAGGAUCGACCCGAGACGAACCGCCGCGAAAGCAUUCGGCAAGGACGCUUUCAUUAAUCAAGAACGAAAGUCGGGGGAUCGAAGACGAUCAGAUACCGUCGUAGUCCCGACCGUAAACGAUGCCGACCGAGGGCCCGGAGGAGUUACGUACGACCCUCCGGGCCCUCCCG